ACCCACUCCGCAUUCCUUCCACUACCGCCGCCGCUGCCGACCUCUCUCCUACCCCAAGCGCUCAUCUCGCCUCCUCGCCGGGCUCACCGCGCCCUCCUCCACCGUCUGCGAGUGCCGGCCGUGUCCUCCGUCGGUCGCCCUCCAUGUCUCCUGCACCGGUCGCCCUUCCGUCUCCCGUGCCGGUUGCCCUCCAUCUCCCGUGGUCGCCUUUUCUCUCUCUCUUUCUCUCCUCAUCUCCCUUUUCCUCUUCCUCGCCUCCCAAAUCUGAAGCCAUUCUUGAGCUUCUGCUUCAUCAAGGGCUGGUGGCUGGUGUGUGUUCGUUCUUUCUUUCUUUGGAGGGAGGAGGUGAGGUGUUGUUUCGUGUAGCUGCGGGGGUGGCCAAUCCCAGGUGCUGUUGUUCUUGGUGGGUGACCUGCUGCUGAGGAGGGUGUGGAGGAGAUCUGAGGGUUGCAGAUUAGAGCAGUGCUAUCGACCUCAAAAUGGCUACAGAGGUUGUUAUUCCUCUGAUAAAUACUGUCAUGGUUGAGUUUAAGAAUGGAACAUAUCCUCGAGGCUCAUUCUUGAAUAUAGAUAUACCAACUGAUGCUGCACACCACAAGGGAUACAAAACUACAAAGCAAGGAAAGUAUAUGGCUAGAAUUGGUUGGGAGCAAACAGUUUAUAAGAACCCUGCCGUAGAAAGUUACCAGACAGCAAACAUGGAUAUACAGUGUUGGGUGGAUUCAGAACUCGAAACAUUUGAAUAGCUCCAUGUAAUUAGUGUUGGGUUUAUACAUACUCCAAAAGAAUGUGGAUUGGCCAUUGUGAUCUAUCUGUCCAUGUAAUUGUUGGGUUUAUACAUGGCUACAUGGAAUCUGUCUAUUGUGCAAAA